rnacentral:rRNA from 1 species
UACGUAGGGUGCGAGCGUUGUCCGGAAUUAUUGGGCGUAAAGAGCUCGUAGGCGGUUUGUUGCGUCUAUCGUGAAAACCUGCAGCUUAACUGUGGGCUUGCGGUGGAUACGGGCAGACUUGAGUUCGGUAGGGGAGACUGGAAUUCCUGGUGUAGCGGUGAAAUGCGCAGAUAUCAGGAGGAACACCGGUGGCGAAGGCGGGUCUCUGGGCCGAUACUGACGCUGAGGAGCGAAAAGCGUGGGGAGCGAACAGG